rnacentral:tRNA from 16 species
CGGGAUGUGGCGCAGCUUGGUAGCGCAUCCGCUUUGGGAGCGGAGGGUCGCAGGUUCAAAUCCUGUCAUCCCGAC